GUCUCUGUGGCGCAAUUGGUUAGCGCGUUCGGCUGUUAACCGAAAGGUUGCUGGUUCAAGCCCAGCCAGGUACG
rfam:Ciona savignyi cont_35637, whole genome shotgun sequence.